CAACUGGCUUUUAUUAAAGCCAUUUUGUAUUGAAAUUAAUAUAAUUU
rfam:Stegodyphus mimosarum contig125008, whole genome shotgun sequence.